AGGUGCUCUGCAGCCUGAAAUGAAGUGCAAAUUGCUGACCAGAGGUAUUGAAGAGAUCUCCUAUAGAGGAAAAGUUUGGGUCUUCUGAAUCCUUGUGUUGUGAUACAGGAAACUUUGAUGGUCUCUUGAGGCUGAGUUGCAAUGUGAAAAGUCUCCUGCCUAUUCCUGCAGCAUUUACUGAGAAGAAAAAUGCUUUGACUGCAAUCCAUGGACAUGCCAGUGCUGUACAGAGAAACCUGAACUACUUCUGCUGCUGGGCACAGAGAAGCCAAGGAUGCCAAGGAAGUUAACGGAUGUAGACAAGAAUUAAUACAGCUACAGUGAGAAAAAAUGGCUUUAUUUGCUGCCAUUGCCAAGUGGAAAACCACUUGGGAAGUUUAAUUUAAAUUCCUAGACAGUUAUAAAAUUGUGCAGGACUCCUCAGAUUAGCUGUGGCAAUUUUCUAUUGAAAAUUACUUGAUGCAAACCUCACAGUCAUUGCACUAGGCAUCUCCUCCUUCAGAUGAACAUCACCAAACACAAGCCAGACCACAGUGCCUGUCCUAUUUCCAUGCAAAACUAAAUGGCUUUUAUCACAAGGAGGAGAGCUGAGCUCUGCUCUCUGUGACAGCAACAGGGCCCAAGGGAACAGCAUGGAGCUGCAUCAGGGAAGGCUGGGGUGGUGGUUAGGGAUAGAUUCUGCACCAGAGGGUGGUGGGCACAGCCCUGAGCUGCUGGAGUUCAAGGAGCAUUUGGACAGUGCCCUCAGACAUCUGGUUUGAUUUUGAGCAGUCCUUUGUGGAGCUGGGAUUUGGACUUGAUGGUCCUUGUGGGUCCCUUCCAACACAGGAUAUUCUGAUUCCACACCUGCAGGCACUGUAAGGGAGAACAGAUGCCCAUCAGAGCUCUGAAUGCGAGCAUGGUUUCCCGGCCUCUUCAGGAAAGAAAUUAACUUGGAGCAGGAUUCAGGAGUGAGGUCUUAGGACACCAGUACAGGUUUAAUCUACCCUCAGUGUAACACACAGAGGCAGCAGAACAUUGCCUAGUACAGUACCUACUUCUGAAAGGCCACCUUCGUUUCCCUGAGGACCUUGCUGCUUAGCUGUAUGGGAAAGGAUUUUGAACAAAGAGUCACAAAUAGGGAGAAUUUUAAGAUGUCUUUUUCAGGGCCUUUCUGCCUUGCUGGCUGAGGUGGUUUUUCUCUGGAGUACCUUGUUUUCUCUGUCUCUUUCAGCAAUGCUGCACUAUUGCCAGCCUUGUGUAAGACAUCCCUUUCCCUCCAUGAGGAAAGGGAUCAGUGGGAUGAGUGGCUGCUGCUUAAGAUCCCUUGUGCAUCUAACCUCCUGUCAGUAUUACUAACAAUAGCUUAGAACUCAAGGUUUUCCAGAGCUGUUUGUAUAUAGAAAAAACUGAAACAAAUGUAGAAGGAAAAUGUAGAAGUGAGCUGAGCUCCAGGAGUUUCCUGUUGGCUUUCUCCCUGCAUGAAGCCUUUAAAUUUCUUCCUACUUAAUUGGUGAGGAUUUGAGAACAAGACUCCUUAAGCUCUUUUUAUCUCUGUAACAAAUUGUGGUUUUAACUGGAGUCAUUUUGGGGGUGCUGGAGAAGGAAGAGGGAACAUUGGACUCUGGGGACGCAUUUCCAUAGGGCAAUGCUAUCGAGCUGCUUGAUUUGUGCACACCAUUGUGCCUUGGGAUGAAAGCCAGGGAGGUGUUUGGAGAGCUACCUACUCACUCAAGUCAUUUGAUUGAAGUUUGCCAUUACCUGCAUCUUCACACAAAGUACUCAUUUGUGUUUAUAACUGCUCUGCACAGCUUUUUGGCGGAUGUUGUGUUGUUUCUCUGAAAUAUGGCUCUUUGUUCUCCUAAGUGAGCAAGGGCUGUUAAUACCAUGCUGUGUUUCUGAUGUCUUUUUGCUGGUCAGCACUCACUGCCCUUUUUUUUUUUCUUUUUUCUUUUUUCCCAGCAGAAGCAGCAAUAGAAGCAGUUAUAACAGACCACUGCAUCUCCACUUAUCUGAUGUUGCAGAGAGGCCAAAUGAGAUCUCUGGGUGUAAGAGCCCAUUUUUCCUAAUUGAUUAUUCACUGCUAACUUACUCCAGUCAGUUUUUUCUCAGCAGUCGAGUGAAACAUGUGAGCAGGAUUUUGAGCAGACCAGGCCUUGCUGAGCGCAGGUGAAAAGGGUAUUUUUUCCAAGCCUACUGAAAACUUAAGCAGGUGGCAAACUGUGGAGAAAAAUAUGAAUUAGCCCAUUUAUACUUACAAAAGUGCUCUUGUCCUAAGUACUUUAAAGCUUUUCAGAAACCUAGAAGUGCAUACAGUAUACAGGCACUCUUUCGUUUUCCCCUUGGAAGCGAUAAGGGAAUGAGAGAGGCCUUCUUAAGACAGAACAUAGUAACACUGCAGUGAAGAGUACUCUUCUUUGGCUAACACUGAGGUUUGUGUUAGCCACAGGUAACUGCCUACUACAGUCUGGGUGCAAUCUUGUUACAGAUGCAGCUAUUUUUACUGAGCAUGAUACAGCACCUGUAGCUAGCCACAUAGUCAAAACACUGAUGAUAUCUUUGUCUUCACAGAAUCCCAUAAAACGGAGGAACAACAGAUGCAGUACACAAAGAAAUCCCCUGUUAAAAUCCUUUCUUACAUGGGGAAAAAAGGCAAAGCUACACAAUUGCUGCUUCUUUCCUCUCAGUGAAACCCUUCCAUUAAUCCAGAUGUCCCUAGGUUAGUAGUGAAACCAGCUAGAUGUAUCAAAGAUCAAUGAAAGCUAUGUGCCAUUUCAGGAAAUAACGUCAGGUGUUUGGAUUAGCCAUGACAUUGGCUGCUAAGCAAAGUUCAUGACACUAAGUCUCCCAUGUGGCUUGCUGGGAAAAGUAAUUCCCAUAGGUUCUCUGUGGAAGUGAUGAUAUAAGCUCCUAGGUGACAUGGCAUGCAGCAUUGGCUGCUGUUGAACAUUAGGAGGACAUUUUAGGGCCCUACAAUGAUAGUUUUCUUGGAAGAAAUCCUCUGGGUCUUCAGAUUGAAAGUCCUCCUGCAGUAUAUGCUGCAGAGUUUAAACAGGGACCUGAUGUAAACAAAUACUAAACAUUUGUUAAAGGUAAUUAAUUGCUCUCAGAACAGUAGAUUCUCAAAAAAUAUAGCUGUGUAUAAUUGCUACGUUUGUCUUCAGAAGAGAAUUUACUAUAUAUUCACCAAGGUGUUCUGUUAAUGAGCAGCAAAUUAAUCAAAACGUUCUUCUGAUAACGUGCUUGUUUUCAACUUACGUAAGCACACUUUCUGCAAAGAAUUUGCUAAUGAGCUUCUUGCCACACAAGAAGUUAUUCAGCAGAGAAAAAUGAGAUGCAGAGAGGUAACUGUGUGAGGGUGUAUUGCUUCUAAUUCAUCAGAGUUGUUCAAAUGUGGUGCUCUGAGCAGCUCCGAUGUGAAGCUGUCUUUUCCAUACAUAACAGAUCUUCUUUACACAGUUUUGUCUACUUCAGUGCUUUAUUUUGCAUCAGAAUUAUGCUUUGAAACAACUCUUGUUUAUGCCAACUGUGUUUUGGUAUCCAUUGUGGAGCAGUUUUUGAACAUGUGAACUGAAUUCCUUUCAGAUGCAACGAAAGUGGAAAAAGUUCUCCAGUAGCAUAACUAAUGUGCUUCAGCCACAGUUUGUCUAUGGGACAUGACUGGAGCUGUUAGAUUGGCCCCCAUCAUAUCCAGCCUGGGAUGGGUGCUGUCUCGCUGCUAGAUUCUCGUUCUUCGCUCUGUAGAUCUGCUCCAAUUGAUGGAUGCUAACUCGAUAAUGCAGCCAUUUUUAGUCCUCAUCCCAUGCUGAGUUCUUCAGACUGUGGCACGUGUUCCAUGUGAGUGCAAAUGAUCUGGACAGUGCAGCUGGAUCCCAGCAGAACUGGAGAGAAGAAAGGGACUUGACAUGAAGAAAAAGCCUAAGCUAAGACUGAAUAUGAAUAUUAUAAUGCAAUUAAUGAACCAAGAAACUGAAUACAGGGUUCAUAAUAAUAAAAGAACAAGUCUACUCUGUAA